AUCCUCUAGAGAUUAGAGUUUGAUCCUGGCUCAGGACGAACGCUGGCGGCGUGCUUAACACAUGCAAGUCGAACGAUGAAGCUGGAGCUUGCUCCGGUGGAUUAGUGGCGAACGGGUGAGUAACACGUGAGCAAUCUGCUCUUGACUCUGGGAUAACUGCGGGAAACUGUAGCUAAUACCGGAUACGAGGCUCGAAGGCAUCUUCGGGUCUGGAAAGAAUUUCGGUCAAGGAUGAGCUCGCGGCCUAUCAGCUUGUUGGUGAGGUAAUGGCUCACCAGGGCGACGACGGGUAGCCGGCCUGAGAGGGUGACCGGCCACACUGGGACUGAGACACGGCCCAGACUCCUACGGGAGGCAGCAGUGGGGAAUAUUGCACAAUGGGCGCAAGCCUGAUGCAGCAACGCCGCGUGAGGGAUGAAGGCCUUCGGGUUGUAAACCUCUUUUAGCAGGGAAGAAGCGAAAGUGACGGUACCUGCAGAAAAAGCACCGGCUAACUACGUGCCAGCAGCCGCGGUAAUACGUAGGGUGCAAGCGUUGUCCGGAAUUAUUGGGCGUAAAGAGCUCGUAGGCGGUUUGUCGCGUCUGCUGUGAAAACCUGAGGCUCAACCUCAGACCUGCAGUGGGUACGGGCAAGCUAGAGUGCGGUAGGG
rnacentral:rRNA from 1 species